rnacentral:rRNA from 1 species
AACGAACGCUGGCGGCAGGCUUAACACAUGCAAGUCGAACGCCCCGCAAGGGGAGUGGCAGACGGGUGAGUAACGCGUGGGAAUCUACCGUGCCCUGCGGAAUAGCUCCGGGAAACUGGAAUUAAUACCGCAUACGCCCUACGGGGGAAAGAUUUACCGGGGUACGAUGAGCCCGCGUUGGAUUAGCUAGUUGGUGGGGU